rnacentral:rRNA from 1 species
CCUACGGGUGGCAGCAGUGAGGAAUAUUGGUCAAUGGACGCAAGUCUGAACCAGCCAUGCCGCGUGCAGGAAGACGGCUCUAUGAGUUGUAAACUGCUUUUGUACGAGGGUAAACGCAGAUACGCGUAUCUGUCUGCAAGUAUCGUACGAAUAAGGAUCGGCUAACUCCGUGCCAGCAGCCGCGGUAAUACGGAGGAUUCAAGCGUUAUCCGGAUUUAUUGGGUUUAAAGGGUGCGUAGGCGGUCGGAUAAGUUAGAGGUGAAAUCCCGAGGCUCAACGUCGGAAUUGCCUCUGAUACUGGUCGGCUAGAGAGUAGUAGCGGUAGGCGGAAUGUAUGGUGUAGCGGUGAAAUGCUUAGAGAUCAUACAGAACACCGAUUGCGAAGGCAGCUUACCAAGCUACUUCUGACGUUGAGGCACGAAAGCGUGGGGAGCAAACAGGAUUAGAUACCCCAGUAGUC